rnacentral:tRNA from 1 species
GAUAUUCUUUUAUUAGAA